UCCACCCUUGGCCGCCCCCUCCUUCUGUAGGAUGCCUGCUGGGCGUUCCCCCCCCCCCUCUCCACCUUGCUGCUGCAAAGAAACAAGAAAGAAGAAGAGAAGAAAGAAGGGAAGGGCAGCAAGGAAAGUAAGGAGAAGAGGGGAAGAGGAGGUUUGAAGCUAGGGAUUUUGGGAUUUUCUUACUGUGGUUCCCUAAGGUGGUGUUGCACCGAUGCAUGUAUGUCUUGUCUUCAUCGUCGGUAAAUGCAAGUGAGCGUGGCGGUUGUUGGCACAACUUUAACUUGUUAUUUUUGCUACCUCCACUUAUAAUAAUGUAGCACACAAGAUUAUACUCAUUAAUUUGGAUAAUUAUACCUACUUGCUCUGGAUCUGUGAAUUUGGCUUAAUCUUUUGGUUAUGGUUGAUGGAGUCUUAUGCAAUAGUGAUGAUGCCUUACCGGUUUAGUCAUUUCUAGCACAACCUCAUUAUAUCUAAUGGUUAGUUCACUUGAGGAUCAUGAUGUCGGUUAUGUAGAAGCUUAUAGAAGAGGACAUGCUUUGACUUGUAGGUGGGCAUUUAAUUCUUUUUGGAAGGUUGUUUCAUAUGUCUAAAACUAGUUGGAAUAUAACCUUUUGAAACCUUAUGCAUGUUAAAUGAUAAGCUAGCAAAAGCAUAUUUGUUAUCUUUCUGUGCCCUACAUAAAAUUAAACUUGUAAUAUGUGGUUAUGAAAUGGGGUAGGCCUUGCUCUUUCAAAGCAAGUUUAAUGUUGCUGUAUGUGUAUGUCCUUGUCAUCUGCACUUUAACAGGAAGAAGGAAUUAUGGAUAUGUGUGGAUGGAAGUGGUUUAUAUUAAUUAUGUAGAAAAUGCUUUUAUGUUGAUGUAUGUUCACGGUUGUGUACUAUGCGAUUUAUAUUUUGGCAUUUGAAGUAUAUCAUGUGCAUUGCACUGUAUUGCAUUUCAUAUGCAUUGAAAGUUAUGUCGUAAAGAUCACGACCGUACCAGUACACAUCGUACAUUUUCCGAGGAGGGGUGCGAUGUAAAAGAAGACAUGUCAUUGCAUUCGUAUGCAUGUCAUAUGGAUUGAUUGUUGGAUAUAUUGAAGUUGCAUUGGAGGUCAUUAUGAGAAGUGACGCUUCUCCAUGGAUAUAUUCAUUGUGGUAUGCCUUGUGAACUUAUGAAGGUAUUGAAGUCCUACGUGGAUUUGCAUUGCAUAGUAUCCAUAUGCAUCAUAUUGUGUUACAGUAAUAUUCCAUAUUCAAUUUGGAUGUGAUGAAUGGUAUGUAGAUGUUUGAGUAAUUUUACUAAUUGUAGAAGGUAUGUGGGUGCGAGUGAGUUAUCCUUAAAACUGUCAUUUAUUAUUAGUGUGGCUUGAACUCUAUUCAUGAUGUCUUGGAUGAUUAUAUUAUCUUACAAGUCCUAUUUAACUCUUAGAAGUUGAAAUCAUUUAUUGAUGUUGAUAUCAUGCCAUAUGGUAUAGAUAGUUUUUUUUUCUAUCUUGCUUAUGUUAUAGUUAUGUUUGCUAUGAACAUGUUUUUAUUGAUCUCCUUUUAGAAGUAACUAUUUAACUUGCUUAAAAAUGAGCAUGAUGAAUAAUACCAUGUCUUUUAUACAUGUUUAAGUUUUAAAGUGAUGCUUUAAAUACUGUGGUUUAAAUAGCUUGUUAAAGUGAUUCGCUUGCUGAGAUUACCCAAUCUCACUCUUGCAAUAUUCCUCCCCAGGUUGUUCUACUUGAAGCUAGCAUGGAGGGAAGGGAUUAGAAGCACGUCUUGCACUUCAUGUAUUCACUUAAUAUCACCGAGUUGUAAUAAUAAAUUAUGUUUAGUCAUUA